UAAACAAGCAUAUACGCUCCGCACUUGCCAAUUUCACCUCUGUUAAGGAUGCAACAGCCCUGCAGAUACUGCCGCAGAAAAACCGUCAAAUACUACAUAUAAUUCAGUAUUUUAACUCCAGCAACUCAUUAUACAGAAAGCAGAGGAUAAGUCCCUGCAGCAUGCUACCCUAUCUUCCAGUACAAUGAACCAAUGAAAAACAAAGAAAGUAAUCCUGUUAUGUUGUCUAACUUUGGUAUAUCAGUCUCCUUAAAUUUUAAUACAUAUCCACAAGCUUCAAGGUGCAACCUCGAUAAGGUCUGAACGUUAAAGGCAAGACGCACAUCGCGACACCUGAAACCAAGGUUCAGAGAAAGUCUAAAUAACCAACACUGGCCUUGGCUUCUAAACGUACAAAAUACACACGACAGCUAUGGAAUACUCCAGAAACAAGAAGUUGAGCUCCAACAUACAGGAUGCACCACCCAUAAAGAGCGGAUGACGCCUAACAGCAGUACUCACAGCGAUUCCAAUCACAAGUUGAAAUCUUUUGCCCCUCAACUACUAUAAACCUCCAACCCAAAAAAGACAUAAACAACCUCGAUAAUGUUUUCAUUUUUAGAAACCCAAUUAAAUAACUUAUUAUUUGGUUAAUUUUAUCUAGACUUUAUUCAGCAGGUAGCUGAUAUCAGGUAACAAUUAAUAGACAAGACAUUUUGCCCCCCAACCAAAUGAAGCCGUCGUCAGUAAAACUAAAGCAGAAAGAAAUCCACAUAAGUAGAAUCACGUACGUAACGCUCACGGUGUCAAUACUCGAAAUUCGUUCUCUUUUUCUCCUCUUGACACACACGU
rnacentral:lncRNA from 1 species